rnacentral:rRNA from 1 species
UGGGGAAUAUUGGACAAUGGGCGCAAGCCUGAUCCAGCCAUGCCGCGUGAGUGAUGAAGGCCUUCGGGUUGUAAAGCUCUUUCGCACACGACGAUGAUGACGGUAGUGUGAGAAGAAGCCCCGGCUAACUUCGUGCCAGCAGCCGCGGUAAUACGAAGGGGGCUAGCGUUGUUCGGAAUUACUGGGCGUAAAGGGCGCGUAGGCGGUUUUUCAAGUCAGGCGUGAAAGCCCCGGGCUUAACCUGGGAACUGCGCUUGAGACUGUAAGACUAGAGUACCGGAGAGGUAGGUGGAAUUCCCAGUGUAGAGGUGAAAUUCGUAGAUAUUGGGAAGAACACCAGUGGCGAAGGCGGCCUACUGGACGGUAACUGACGCUGAGGCGCGAAAGCGUGGGGAGCAAA